rnacentral:tRNA from 1 species
AAUCUUGUAGUUAAAUAAAAUAACAUUAGAAUGCAAUUCUAUAAUUAUAGUUUUAUACUAUUAAGAUUU